rnacentral:rRNA from 1 species
GGAGGCAGCAGUGGGGGAUAUUGCACAAUGGGGGAAACCCUGAUGCAGCGACGCCGCGUGAGUGAAGAAGUAUUUCGGUAUGUAAAGCUCUAUCAGCAGGGAAGAAAAUGACGGUACCUGACUAAGAAGCUCCGGCUAAAUACGUGCCAGCAGCCGCGGUAAU